AGGCCUCAAUCACAGCUGCCCCGGGCUGCCCUCAGAGUCUGUCCCACGGAGUGGGCACCAGGCCUGGGAUCCGGAGAGGAGGCAGGGGCGCCUCCGGGCGAGUCACCGGGCAGGGGGAACUGAAAUAUCGGAAGAAGCCAAAAAAGGAAGCAGAUCCCUGACUUCCACAUCCACUAUCUCAUCUGACCCCUAAGCUCCUCUGAGGAAGAAGAGGCAGGUGGACUGGCCCGCAGGUCCACAACUCCAUAUCCGGGCGCGUUUCGGAAUGUUGUGGAUUUUAGAAAGGUAAUACGGCACACACACCUGCCAGCAAGGCUUGGAGCAGUACACUGUAAUCCGGUUCAUCUGCACUUGCGUAGUAAAACUAAAUGUAAUAAAUAAAGACCACCCACAGCUUGA